rnacentral:misc_RNA from 1 species
UUUCCGUAGGUGAACCUGCGGAAGGAUCAUUACUGAACCGUCGACACGAGUUGUUGCUGGUCCUCGGAAGGGGGCAUGUGCACGCUCUGUUUACACAUCCACUCACACCUGUGCACCCUCUGUAGUUCUAUGGUCAUGGGGGCUCAGCCCUCUCGCCGUGGUCCUACGUCUUUACACACACACCGUAACAAAGUCUCAUGGAAUGUAUGUCGCGUUCAACGCAAUACAAUACAACUUUCAGCAACGGAUCUCUUGGCUCUC